CCUCCCGUCCUUGUUUACCGGCGCUCCCGGGAUGGAGCCGGGCCAGCUGGCCCCGCGCUAUCGGGGUGUGGGCUGCUGAACGGCCCCGAUAACUCCGCCGCCCUGCUCCUCUUUCACCCUAUGCCUCGUCCCCUCUCCUCGCCGUGUUCUCAUAAAACUCUGGGAUUUGAAGUGCUGGAAGACCUGGGGCGUGCAGCUGAGUUCAGACAAAACUGGACAUGGCACUCAAACCCUUAAGGUGACACUGACAAAGGGACAGAGAGAAAACACAGAAAAGAAGCUAGAAAAAUCAACAGAAGGGAAAUAAUGAGGAAAUGGAGAGGAUGACCUCUCCAGAAGAGGAAAAAGGAGGUAAUGAAGAGAGGUGACUGUGGGCACUUCUGCGUUUUAACAGCAGAUGAAAGUUGAGCCACGAGCCAUAUUUGACAGAGGGUGGAGCAAUAACGUGUGCACUCAUUACUGCAGUCAGUUAGGUAAUAAUUGUUACUUUUUGCCCACAAGCAAAGGGCUUAACUUUUAGGUUUUUUUUAAGAGGUGUAAGCUUUACCCGUAUACGUAGAAGGCAAAAUCUGCCCCUUUGCUAUGGACAAAUAAGACAUUAGGAGCUGUAUACCGUACAACGUCUGGUUACAAGGAGCAGGUAUCUUCUGGACUUCUCACCCACAACUUUGCCAACAAGGUUGACAUAUCCUUGGGCAAAAGGAAUUAAGGCCCGGGCACGUGCUCAGCGCUCCAGCUCCCCGAGUUAUGUAAUAUCCAAAUCUAAGUUUAAAAACAACAAACUCUGGCCCCUCUCGGUUGCAAAACCAGCAGGGCUGGAAACAUUAAGCAAACCUCUCGUCCUGGAGUAACUGACUCAGCGCCCGUAACACACCUCGAGCUAAACCAGGGCGGCACUCUUAAGUAAAUAGAGCGCUCCAGCCGCAGGGGGACUUUCCCGUGCGGAACCCGCGGGCCCGGGUCCGCCGCGGCCGAACUGUGGAGCGUGUUGGGAGCGGAGCCCCG